rnacentral:rRNA from 1 species
AGCAGCCGCGGUAAUUCCAGCUCCAAUAGCGUAUAUUAAAGUUGUUGCAGUUAAAAAGCUCGUAGUUGAAUUUCGGGAUCAGUUGGUCGGUCGUGCCUCGGUACGUACUGGUCAAAUUGAUUCCUACCUUCUGACGAACCACGAUGUCAUUAAUUUGGUGUCGCGGGAAAUCAGGACUGUUACUUUGAAAAAUUAGAGUGUUUAAAGCAGGCUCGCGCUUGAAUACAUUAGCAUGGAAUAAUGAAAUAGGACGUUUGAUUCUAUUUUGUUGGUUUCUAGGAUCGACGUAAUGAUUAAUAGGGAUAGUUGGGGGCAUUAGUAUUCAAUUGUCAGAGGUGAAAUUCUUGGAUUUAUUGAAGACUAACUACUGCGAAAGCAUUUGCCAAGGAUGUUUUCAUUAAUCAAGAACGAAAGUUAGGGGAUCGAAGACGAUCAGAUACCGUCGUAGUCUUAACCAUAAACUAUGCCGACUAGGGAUCGGAUGAUGUUAAUUUUUAAUGACUCAUUCGGCGCCUUAACC